rnacentral:rRNA from 1 species
UACGGAGGGUGCAAGCGUUAUCCGGAUUCACUGGGUUUAAAGGGUGCGUAGGCGGAUAGGUAAGUCCGUGGUGAAAUCCUGCAGCUUAACUGCAGAACUGCCGUGGAUACUAUUUAUCUUGAAUAUCGUGGAGGUUAGCGGAAUAUGUCAUGUAGCGGUGAAAUGCUUAGAUAUGACAUAGAACACCCAUUGCGAAGGCAGCUAACUACGCGAUCAUUGACGCUGAUGCACGAAAAGCGUGGGGAUCAAACAGG